AUGUGUUUGUGUGAUGUGGUUGACAUGGAUGCCAGCCAUGUUCUUCUUGGGAGGCCUUGGCAAUUUGAUGUGGAUACUACACACAAGGGCAAGGAAAAUUCUUACUCUUUCAUUUGGAACAAGAGAAAGAUCAUUAUCCUACCAAACAAAACCGAAGGUAAUACCUCUAAGGAGGAGGGGAAAACUAUGUUAACUAUCUCCCAUACCUCUCAUGAGUUUACGGAAGACUUGAAGGAGGCAGAUUUGUGUGCUGCACUUGUUGUAAAGGGAGAAGAGCACCUGACUGUUGAAAUUCCAACAAAGGUACAUGGUUUAUUGGCAAAAUUUCAGAACAUACUUGGGGAGCCACAUGGCUUGCCACCGAUGAGAGGAAUUCAACAUAGAAUUGACUUAAUUCUGGGAGCAAGUCUUCCUAAUCUUCCACACUAUCAAAUGAGCCCAAAGGAGAAUGAUAUAUUGAAGGAGAAAGUGGAGGAAUUGUUGCAAAAGGGGCACAUUCGAGAAAGUAUUAGCCCAUGUGCUAUACUAGCCCUACUCACGCCAAAGAAAGAUGGAUCUUAG
rnacentral:rRNA from 1 species